rnacentral:rRNA from 1 species
UGUUGACCUCGGAUCAGGUAGGAAUACCGCUGAACUUAAGCUAUCAAAG